rnacentral:rRNA from 1 species
UACGUAGGGAGCAAGCGUUGUCCGGAAUCAUUGGGCGUAAAGCGCGCGUAGGUGGCCAUUUAAGUCCGCUGUGAAAAGUCAAAGGCUCAACCUUUGAAAGCCGGUGGAUACUGGAUGGCUAGAGUACGGAAGAGGCGAGUGGAAUUCCUGGUGUAGCGGUGGAAUGCGCAGAUAUCAGGAGGAACACCAAUAGCGAAGGCAGCUCGCUGGGACGUUACUGACGCUGAGACGCGAAAGCGUGGGGGAGCGAACAGG